AUGGAGGAUACCAGCAAAAUCUUGGAGAGGUUGAAUCUCGAGGAUGAUGAGGCGGAUGACCUAGUUUGGGAAGAUGAGAUCGAUACUGAUGAGAUUAAACCGAAAUGGUUGACUCUUGGCCGGCUCUUGACAGGGAAGAGUUUCAGUCAGAGUGCAUUGAUAGGGGAUAUGAAAGCGGCCUGGAACCCUGCCCAGGCCGUUGUAUGGAGAAGAAUCAAUGCGAACCUGUUCUCGAUUCAAUUCAAUUGUCUUGGCGACUGG
rnacentral:rRNA from 1 species